GGGAAAAGAGACAUAAUUUAGCUGUGUUGCUAGCAUGGUUCCAUUUUUAAAGGAGGGGAGGGGGCCAGUCUAGAGCUCUAACUGUUUUUAGUUGCAUAUGGAAAUAUCUAAAAAAUAUUGAGCAUUUUUACUAAGCGCAUUGAGGCCUCUCCAGUGUCUUCCUGGCUGUGGCUGCUUUGUCAUUCUCUCUGACUAGCUAGCCAUCUACCUUGCUCAGGCCUGGAAUAAAAGAAGAACAAGAAGAAGAAAGAAAUGAAAUGAAAAACAGAAAGGAAAAGGAGAAGAAACGUUUGAAAAAGGGUCAUCUUCCCAUCUGCCUCCCCUCCUUUUCCUUUCAUUUUUGGAGGCGGCACAGGAAAGCCCCACUUCCAGUCUGAUGAGGAAAGCAACAAUCUAUCAGGUACAGAACCAGGGUCUGUCUGCGAAGAUGGAGGGGAAUUAUGCUUCGGAUUCCUCUGAAAUAUUGGCCAAAGGCUUCAAAGAAUCCGCAGCGGGAGAUGCGGGGGGAAUGUCUCGCCCCAGCCCGCACCCAGCCCUUCCCACUUCGCGUCUACCAAAUGACAGCCUGGUGCUCGCUCUUGGUGAUUUGGCCUUGACUUCAGCCAAGCAGCUGAUGCAGACGAAGGCUCCGUUUGCAGGACUGGCAAAGUGCACGCUAAAGAAAUAAGGAAGAAAUUUUUCAAAAAGCAGCUCUGGGGAGGUUUCAUACUGCCCCCCCCUUUUUUUUUUUUAAUUUUUAAGUGAAUAUUUUCCAAAUUUGAUCAGUUCCAGCCCCUCCCUCCACUCCCACCCAACUGCCCUUUUUUCUCUCGUCAAAGCAUAAGCUACAGAGUUACAGUCUCGAGAUUUGGUGUAUCGCUUCCUGCCCCCGCCUCCCCUCCCCGCCCCCGUUCUCCGUCCUCUAUUGAAACACCUCGCCCAGCCUAGCGCACUGAGAGCUCUCAUUUCCCCCCCUUGCUCGGGAUGGUGCCACAGGAGGCUGUGCGGGCCCCGCUCCGCUUCGAAUGGAUACAGUUAAGCUAAUGAUCUCGAGAGGAUAUCGUCCUGGAUAAGGGUGGAGCCUACGCCCAAAAACAAGAUUACCUGAAAGAGAAAAGAAAGGGGGAAAACACACAGAGACACAGUCAGGGAGGCCACAUGAAGAUGGAGGCAGAGACAGGAGUGAUGAGCCUGCAAGCCAAGGAAUGCCAAGGGCUGCCAGCAGCCACGAGAAGCUGAGAGACACAGAGAACGAGUCCUCUGCCAGAGCCUCCAGAAGGAACUAACCUUGUCAAUACCUUGAUUUCGGACUUCUGGACUCCAGAACUAUAACCAUCCUUCCUCCACCUCACAAAAACUCACAAGCUGCAGCCCUUCUGAUGUCCACUCCCACACAAACCAGCUUCAGGCCUUUUUCAAGGUAAAGUGCCAUAUUUAUUGUAGCAUUUAUGAACUUCCUAAUCGCCUAACAUGUGUAAAACUGCACUAGUGUUUUUAUUAGGCUCCUACCUAUUUUUAUGUGUCACUGAUGAAGUGUUUGAA